AAGUGUAAUCUGGCUACAACAUCAAUCAUCUGAUUGAUCACUAGGGUUGGUUCCAUUGAUCUGACUGGCUAGGUUAGUAUCCCUUUCCUUCCUUCAUUUUGUCCCUUCUUAAGUUAAUCACUGAGUCAAAGUGACCAUCCCAGAAUAGAGAAGGCAUAAUCUUCAAUCAAGAGUGUUGUGGUA
rnacentral:snRNA from 1 species